AAAGAUAUCGGUAAAAACCCAAAUAAUCCACAUAUACAAAGACACCAAACCACAGAUGUCCAAAAAUUAACUUAUGUGUAAUUAAAUGAAAAGCCACAG